AUGUGACCAUAUUUUCUGUUAACCUGAGUAUGUUUAUUUGAAAUUCAUAAAGUUUCCAAUCAUAACAAUGUCUCAGACUGAAGUUAUUUAUAAUAUGUAAGAACAAAAUAUCAAUAAUCAUCACAAUAUAAUUUCAUGAAUAGGACUAAAAGUCUGUUAUACUGUAUAUAUCGUUUUAUUGCUUAUGCAUUAUGCAAACACAGUAAGGAGCUUAU
rnacentral:misc_RNA from 1 species